CUCAUCAGUCCCGGCAGACUUCCUAACUCUGGAGAAGCCAGGGAGCAAAGACACCCCCUCAAAGCUCGACAGAGGCAGAGCCUAUGGGGACUGCAGAGGGCUUGGUCGAGGCCAAGCCCCAUCUUUACUCCUCAGAAGUCCACUCUGAGGCUGGAAGAGGGGAUUCUAAUCACCCCAGCCCUGGGGCAUUGGGACAGAACCCCCAGAAACUACAGAAGUAGGUUCCAGGUGCACCUGUCCAGCAGAGGUGUUAGAAACCACAGCCUGCCACAGUGACAGCAGCAGAAAGGACACAGAUAAUAGCCCACUGACUACCUUCGAGGUGCUCUGGUGGUUCCUGCUCAUUAUCACGCAUAAGCCUUCUAAACCAGUGCGGCAAAGUGGGGAUCGUGGUCCCCAUUUCUCAGAUGAGGAAACUGAGGCUUUGAGAAGGAAGUGCUUGCCUGAAGUCACCCAGACUGGGAAGCCCUAGACUUAUUGCUGCGUGCCUUUAAAAGACAGACUGGGGACGCCUGGGUGGCUCAGGGGUUAAG